GGGGGUGACUGGAUUCGACAGGGUAGACCUGAGAUGAGCAGCAGGCCGUGGUCUCCUCUCCACGUUAAUCUGGGGUAAUUCAAAUUGAAUUGACAGCAACAAUUCAUAUGAGGGCUCUUAUGCCCUCGCUGCUUAACUUAAAUAAGUAGCCGUCAAUCCACCGAUUUCCCUCGUUGGUGGUGCGGCGUCGACUCAGAGGGAUGCUGCAUGAGGCUUCUGCUCGUUUUCCUCAUGCCUAAGCUUAAACGGGCUUGGGCGUUAACCGUCGGUCGCUGAACGCGAUACGCCUCAGAUCUAAUCAGUGACUGAGCCUGAAGAUACACAUCAGGGGUCUAUUUUGGACCGGAGUUCGAUUCUCCGCACCUCCACCA
rnacentral:tmRNA from 1 species